rnacentral:rRNA from 1 species
CCUACGGGUGGCAGCAGUGAGGAAUAUUGGUCAAUGGCCGGAAGGCUGAACCAGCCACGCCGCGUGAAGGAGGAAGGCGCAGAGCGUCUCAGACCUCUUUUGCCGGGGGACAAAAUGCCGGGCUCGUCCGGUUCUGAGGGUACCCGGAGAAAAAGCAUCGGCUAACUCCGUGCCAGCAGCCGCGGUAAUACGGGGGAUGCGAGCGUUGUCCGGAUUGAGUGGGUUAAAAGGGUGCGCAGGCGGGCCUUUAAGCCGGCGGUGAAAUCGCGGGGCUAAACCCCGCCGUGCCGUCGGUACUGGGGACCUUGAGUGAGGUGGAGGCAAGCGGAAUUCGCGGUGUAGCGGUGAAAUGCAUAGAUAUCGCGAAGAACACCGAUUGCGAAGGCAGCGUGCCGUGCCGUCACUGACGCUGAGGAACGAAAGCGCGGGGAUCGAACAGGAUUAGAUACCCUUGUAGUC